rnacentral:sRNA from 1 species
UGGUAGAUGCACCCUAUAUUAUUCUGCCCUUAGUCUUUGGCUAGGGGCUUUGUUUU